UUUGUAAGCACACUUGCAGAAGUUAAACUGUCAGACACACUAACAGGUAACAGGUAAACAGUCAGUGAGGGCUAAACUUGGCCCAGGCAUGAGGUGUCCCCCUGGGGGGGUCUCACUGAACCUGCAGGCAGAGGGCAGGGCUUCAGCACAGCUCAGAGCUGGAGGAACUGGCUGCAGGGCAGAGCCAGUCUUUUAAUAAUUGCCAGUAUAAAGCUGCAUUGCUAAAUGGGCUCUGAAUGCUGCUUGUACCGUGCUGCAUUUGGAAGAGCUGUGGAGUGGAGCUGGGCUCCCAGGGGCUGCUCAGAGGCUGCUCAUGAUACUGGGGCAUUACAAGUGCAUCUGUUUUGUCCCAGAUAUGCUGAAAUGUUAGAGCAUGCAAUAGUAACACCCUGGGGAAAGGAAUCGUGUAAAGGAAAGCAGUGGAGAGAAUUAAGGUUUUGGCAGUAUUUCAGUGAGAGGACGUAAAGGAGCCAGUGCUCAGUUAAGGAUGCAAGGCUUCAGGAAAACCCAUUUCUCUUUACUGCUAUCUGAAAACUGAUGUAGUUCUGUUACAACUGAAGACUGAGCUGGGACCCAGCUGCAACUAUUAAUUUCCAAGUAAAUUUCACAGACGUUUGGACAGUGUUUUUCUGUGGCUGAUGCAGUGUUUCUGCUUUAGGCAAUCUCAUUCUUCUUGAAAAUGGUGUUAAAUAAUACCUGUGUCAAAAAUCACUUCUGGUGACACCAUGCAAAACAGACUGAGAUAUAUUCUGAGAUAAUGGCUAUUAAUCACUGAUCAAAUAUGAUACCUAAACUCCUAUGUGUUUGUGAAAUUAAGCAAUCAGUAAUACUUACAUUUGUUUUUCCAUACUUCAAAAGUAGAUCCAGUGCCUGUGUCUCUAGCCAGAAUCUCUUCCAGGAAAUUGUUUCAGUCAGAGAGCAGCUUUAUGAAGGCUGAAUUUGAGUUCCAAACUUGCAGCAUUUCUCCCAACAUUUAACUGUCAUAUACUAGUUAAAUAAAAUUUGAUAUUUGUUGUA